rnacentral:lncRNA from 1 species
CAUCUCUUUUAAAAACACUGUUUCGUUGGAUCCUUUGGGCGCGCGCGUGCGACAAUGACACCAACGACACCGGGGUCAAAAGAGAGAGAGAGAGAGAGAGAGAGAGAGAGAGAGAGGGAGAAAGGCGGCUAGAGCACGACGACGUCGCUGCAGCCCGCGAAAAAGGGCACGCCGCCAGUCCGGUCGGUGCAUCGAAUCAUCGCAUCGUCGCCAUCGUCGUCAUCGUCAUCUUCACCGGCGCGGGCCUCGUACAGGGAACCAUCGUCGCCGCCUUGCGCGUGUGCUGGAUCGAGCGAGGCCAGGAGCGGACCGAUGUCGUCGUCCUCCGAGGCGGGUGCAGCGAGCGGCAAUAACCAAAGGGCCGCCGCGACGGUCCACACGCACGACACCACGAGCACGCCGCCGCACAGCACGGCCGUCCACUCGAAAAAGGCCGCCGGGUGCGCGGCCGCCGGCGCCAGCAGGAGCACACCGAGGGCGGCCACAUAGGCCGGCACCUGGCAUGCCACGUUGACCAGCAGCGGAUCGACGGCCAUGUGCGACGCGCCGAUCAGGCGUUCAAAGACGAUGCCGCCGCCGCUAAAAGGCACCAAGGCGAAAAAGUGGCCCACGCCGCCGCUGACGAGAAAGACGAGCGGCGACAGCCAGCCGGCGGCGGAUGCCACGCCCGUCAAGAGUAUGACCGUGGCGGCGACGAGACCGACGCCGCCGAUGACGACAAAGGCCCGACGAUUGUCCCUGAGCCAAAUGAGCGGCACAUAGCACAGGCACGCGGCGACGCACGCUGGCGCGUCGGCCACCACCGAGUGCCACCAGGGGGCGUCGGCUCCCACGAGAUCGGCCGUGAAGACGUCGCGCACGGCGCCGAGCCCCUGGAGCGCGGCGUUGCUCACCGCCAGCCCCAGGACGAGGCUCCAGUGCCGAUGGAACCAGGCUCGGUCGGCGCCGGUCGACAUGGCCUUAAUGUCCACUGCGCUACCGGGGGCACGGUAGAGUAGCACCUGGGCGCCGGUGCUAUCAUCGCGCUCGCGGGCGCCGACGUGGGCAGAACGCGCGCGCACAUCCGCCUGGUUGGGUGGCGGCAUCGCCGUCAGGGCUGCCGCCGCUGCCAGCGUGGGCACGGCACAGAGCACGCUCACGGCCAGGGGCAUCCACAGGUGUCCGUCAUUGUCGCUGGUAUCGCCCACGCCACCCAGCCAGUCGGCGACGUACAGGGAGAGGGGCCUCGACGCGGCGGGCGCCAAGAGGAUGGCCAGAGUGGCGACGGGCAUGGCCACGUCGGACGCGCGGCGCCCCUGUGCGCACGCCAGAUAAGCGCAAAAGGCCAGUGAGAUGACGGCCGACCCGGCAAAGCGCCCGACCAGCUGGAGGGCGAGACCGCCGAUGCCGCCCACGGCACCCAGGGCAAAGGCCGCGUUGGGCACGGCGCCGUAGAUGAGGGGCAAGAGGGCGAGGGCGACCGGUCGCCGCCAGCCGCCCGUGGCGAGGCGUCUCAAAGGCCCGUAGAGUGCGGCGGCAAAGCCCAAGGGCAUGGCGGCCGCGCGCGCGAUGGACAAGAGGGCCUUGGUCGUGUAGGGGCCACCGCCCGGCCGAUCGUCAAUCUCCACGGUGAGCGCAAACACGGCAAGGCCGGGCACCAGCGCGGCCAUCCAAUAGGUGGCCGCCGCCGCCGAGAGCCACGCGACCAUCACCGACAAUCGCUGCCCGGCGGCGUGGCGCACGCGCCCGCACCGACCGGCGGGCGUGAGGUCGUCGCUGAAAAACACGGGCAGGCUGGGCUCGCCCUUGAGUGCCUCGUCGAGGGCCUCCUCUUCCUCGUCCCAUCGGGUCACGAUACGCGACCGUUCGCGCAACAGCGACAUCCCUAG